rnacentral:rRNA from 1 species
GAGUUUGAUCCUGGCUCAGGAUGAACGCUGGCGGCGUGUCUAAGGCAUGCAAGUCGAACGCCCCACACCUUUUAGCCUUUUAUGGUAUAGUAAAAGUAUGUAUUACAUAUAUAUACUAAAAAGUAAAAAGCUACCACAAAAAAUCUACAUUGGUUUCACUAAACGACUAUAAAAAAGAUUGCUAGAACAUAAUCGUGGCAAAUCAACAUAUACAAAACAAUUUAAGCCAUGGAGUAUGAUUUACUACGAAGCAUAUUUUAUUAAAAAAGAUGCUAUUGAACGGGAGAAACAAUUAAAAAAACAUGCGAAAGCAUGGGGACAAUUAAAACGUAGAAUAUAAGUGGUCAUUACAAGAAGGCUAAAAGGUGUGGGGAGUGGCAAACGGGAGCGUAACACAUUGGUAACCUACCCCAAAGCUCGGAAUAACUCCGCGAAAGCGGAGCUAAUACCGAAUGUGCUCCGAUGAUAAUUUUAUCUGAGUAAAGAUUUAUCACUUUGGGAGGGGCCUAUGGUCUAUCAGCUUGUUGGUGAGGUAAUGGCCCACCAAGGCAACGACGGAUACCGGGUGUGAGAGCAUGACCCGGCUCACUGGGACUGAGACACUGCCCAGACUCCUACGGGAGGCUGCAGUCAAGAAUCUUCCUCAAUGGCCGAAAGGCUGAAGGAGCGACGCCGCGUGCAGGAAGAAGCCCUUCGGGGUGUAAACUGCUUUUCUGUGGGAAAAACUAAUGAUGGUACCACAGGAAUAAGGGGCUGCUAACUUCGUGCCAGCAGCAGCGGUAAUACGAAGGCCCCAAGCGUUAUCCGGAUUUAUUGGGCGUAAAGAGCUCAAAGGCGGCUAGUUAAGUCUUUGGUUAAAUCCUGGUGCUCAACAUCAGGACCGCCAAGGAAACUAAUUAGCUUGAGGGUAGGAGAGGCAGACGGAAUUGCCGGUGUAGUAGUAAAAUGCGUUAAUAUCGGCAAGAACACCAAAAGCGAAGGCAGUCUGCUGGAAUAUCCCUGACGCUACAAGAGCGAAAGCGUGGGUAGCAAAACGGAUUAGAUACCCGUGUAGUCCACGCCGUAAACGAUGGAUACUAGGCAUUGGGAGUAUCGACCCUUUCAGUGCCGGUCUAAAAGCUAACGCAUUAAGUAUCCCGCCUGGGGAGUACGGCCGCAAGGCUAAAACUCAAAGGAAUUGACGGGAACCCGCACAAGCGGUGGAGCAUGUGGUUCAAUUCGACGAUAACCGAGGAACCUUACCAGGGCUUGAAAUCCUAGCUGCACAACCACAGAAACGUGGUUUCCUUCGAGGGUGCUAGGACAGGUGCUGCAUGGUUGUCGUCAGCUCGUGUCGUGAGAUUUCGGGUUAAGUCCUUUAACGAGCGCAACCCCUAUGGUAUGUUAAAUGUUCAUACCAAACUGCCUUGGAUAACAAGGAGGAAGGUGGGGAUGACGUCAAAUCAGCAUGGUCCUCUGAUGCCCUGGGCCACACACGUGCUACAAUGGAUAGUACAAUGGGUCGCCAAGCCGUAAGGCGGAGCUAAUCCCACCAAAGCUAUCCCCAGUUCGGAUUGAAGGCUGCAACUCGCCUUCAUGAAGCUGGAAUCGCUAGUAAUCGCGCAUCAGCUAAGGCGCGGUGAAUACGUUCUCGGGUUUUGCACACAC